GGGGAUGUGGCUCAGUGGUAAAGCACUUGCCUAGCAUGUGCAAGGUCCUGGGUUCAAUCCCCAGCACCACAA
rnacentral:tRNA from 1 species